rnacentral:rRNA from 1 species
GAAAUUCCAAUCGAACCUGGAGAUAGCUGGUUCUCUCCGAAAUAGCUUUAGGGCUAGCCUCAAGUGAUGAUUAUUGGAGGUAGAGCACUGUUUGGACGAGGGGCCCCUCUCGGGUUACCGAAUUCAGACAAACUCCGAAUGCCAAUUAAUUUAACUUGGGAGUCAGAACAUGGGUGAUAAGGUCCGUGUUCGAAAGGGAAACAGCCCAGACCACCAGCUAAGGUCCCAAAAUAUAUGUUAAGUGGAAAAGGAUGUGGCGUUGCCCAGACAACUAGGAUGUUGGCUUAGAAGCAGCCAUCAUUUAAAGAGUGCGUAAUAGCUCACUAGUCGAGUGACACUGCGCCGAAAAUGUACCGGGGCUAAACAUAUUACCGAAGCUGUGGAUUGUCCUUUGGACAAUGGUAGGAGAGCGUUCUAAGGGCGUUGAAGCAUGAUCGUAAGGACAUGUGGAGCGCUUAGAAGUGAGAAUGCCGGUGUGAGUAGCGAAAGACGGGUGAGAAUCCCGUCCACCGAUUGACUAAGGUUUCCAGAGGAAGGCUCGUCCGCUCUGGGUUAGUCGGGUCCUA